GAAUCAGGUGGGAAGGUGGAGCCAACGCUCUGCAAACUGUAUGGGGAGCCAGGGGUUUUGGCAGAGUUCAAAGACUGGGAAGCAAGGUUCAGCCAUGUUGGGCCUUUGGGCUCAUAGAUGAGCAAGGGUACCCCAAUAUGAGGGCUCAGCAAAUUCUGGAACUUAAUAGUUCUGAAGGCCUUUAGAGGAGAAGGAGGCAGGUAAAAGGGUUCGCCUUGCGUAUUGGUGAUGAAACAGGCUAUUUUUGAGACUGAGUUGUCCAGCAUUCUCUAAGGUACGUAGUCCUGCAGGGCGCUGCUUAAUGAACCAGAAGUCCUGCCUCUUAAGUACCUCACCAACUCAAAUGUGUGCAUGUCACCUUGGUGUGAAUCAGAGCAGGCGCUGAUGGAUACCGUUUGGAGGCAUGCCAGCAAGGAGUUCCUUGUGUAGCCUGCCUCUAGAGCCUCAAGUUCAACUUCCAUGGGGCCAACAGGGGAGUCGGGCUGGGCAGAAGCUCCUGGGAACCAAAGCAAAUGGUCUGAGAGUCUGAGAGCAGAGUGGAGGUAACGUGUUUGUGUCCUCUCUGGCUGCAGCACCCCAAGUCCUGGCAGACUCAAGUAGCCUCUUUGCAAGUUUAAAUAGUUUCUGACCCCUGGCUGGUAACGUUAAUACUCUACAGUGGCCCAGUGUCAGGGAUAUAGAGUGGCGACUACUUGGCAGAACUGGAGCUUGCUCGGAUGAAAAGAUAAAUUGUACUGGUUAAA